rnacentral:misc_RNA from 1 species
GAUGAAGAACGUAGCGAAAUGCGAUAAGUAAUGUGAAUUGCAGAAUUCAGUGAAUCUUCGAAUCUUUGAACGCACAUUGCGCCCCUUGGUAUUCCGAGGGGCAUGCCUGUUCGAGCGUCAUUAUAACCCCUCAAGCUCAGCUUGGUGUUGGGGCCUGCUGCACUGGCAGCCCUUAAAAUCAGUGGCGGCGCCAUCUGGCUCUAAGCGUAGUAAUUCUUCUCGCUAUGGAGUCCUGGUGGAUGCUUGCCAUCAACCCCCAAUUUUUCUAUGGUUGACCUCGGAUCAGGUAGGGAUACCCGCUGAACUUAAGCAUAUCAAUAAGCGGAGGA